rnacentral:rRNA from 1 species
UACAGAGACUGCAAGCGUUAUUCGGAUUCACUGGGCGUAAAGGGUGCGCAGGCGGCCGUGUGUGUGAGGCGUGAAAGCCCGGAGCUCAACUCCGGAAUUGCACCUCAAACUACAUGGCUAGAGCAUUGGAGAGGGAAGCGGAAUUCACGGUGUAGCAGUGAAAUGCGUAGAGAUCGGGUGGAACACCAGAGGCGAAGGCGGCAUCCUGGCAACAUACUGACGUCGAGGCGCGAGAGCGUGGGGAGCAAACGGG